ACAACAUUGGGACCGUUCUACCGAGCAAUGUCACCCGCUCGGUGGAAGAUCUUCCCUCCGUUGU
rnacentral:pre_miRNA from 1 species